AUCUCUUUGGAGACAUCCGAUAAAAUUGGAACAAAACAAAGAAGAUUAGCAUGGUUCCUGCGCAGGUAUGCCAUACACUCAUAGCAAGAAAGGCAUAAUAGA